AAAAAAAGAAGAAGAUUAAAAAUCUUGAUUCUAUCGUCUCUCCAUCUUGAUUCUUUGAAAAUUGGUUUAAUCACAGUCGUGUGAGAGAUGAUGACGUUCAACGACCUUCCGGAGGAUUUGGUAGUGGAGAUACUCUCUAGAGUUCCGGCUGUAUUUCUAGCACGAUUACGAUCAACAUCCAAACGAUGGAACACUUUGAUCAAAGAUGGGAAACUUUCUAAGAAGCACUCUUCUAAUGCUCCAAGGCACUCUAUGGCUCUCGUGUUGAUUGAUCAUAAGGUUUAUUCAGUGAGAUCCAAUCUCCGUGGAAUUCACAAUAGCGUUGCUCCAUAUGUUAACAUAACAUGUCAUUUUAGCCUAAAAGAACAUCUUUCUAAUAAUUAUUCAACAGAAGUCGAUAUAGGCCACGUCUUUCACUGCGAUGGCUUAUUGCUAUGCACCACCAAGGACUAUAGACUGGUGGUUUGGAAUCCGCUUUCAGGUGAAACAAGGUGGAUUCAACCAAGAUUUUGCUACAAGAAAGAUGACUGCUAUGCUCUCGGUAGAUCCUCUUGCAACAAGUACAAAAUCUUGAGGCAGGGUCGUCUUAUCAAUCCUAGCGAAGAACGUUACGUGUACAACAUCGUGGGGGAGGAUCUUGUUAUCAACAAUAGCCAAGAACGUUACGAGUACGAAAUCUAUGACUUUAACUCUAAUUCGUGGAGGAGUAUUGGUGUGAUCACCGGCUUGUUCAAUCCAAAUAUCACCAGUGGCGUGUCUGUAAAUGGAAUCACUUACUGGUUUGAUAUUAGUGAACAAUUCUUACUAAGUUUUGAUUUCUCAACAGAGAGAUUUGGAAGUGAGUCUCUCCCAGAGGGUGAUAGUCAUUUGGCUUUAUCAGUGACUAGACAAGGGAAACGACUUUGUAUGUUAUCUACUAAUUACACAUACGUAACCGGAACAAACGUUAACUUAUGGAUAGCAACGAAGACUAGUGAGAACACCAGAGCAAUGUCAUGGAGCAAGUUCCCAAUACUGCGGGGCGGAGUUGGUCUACGCUAUCGUUGUCAUUUUAGGGAAGGGGUGAGUUUCUUCGCAUACCAAGUUAAGGAGAAGAUUGUUGUAGUUUCUUGUCAUAGACCCAACCGGCACUCCAAGGACAUCAUACACAUUGUGGAAAAUGAUAAAUUCAUAGAAUUGGAUCAUCAUGGUGCAAAACCUACACAUGAAUUAUCUCCUACCCCACGUCUCCUCAUAUAUGUUCCAAGUUUGGUUCAAAUUCAACAUGGUAUUUAGUUCUUUGGAGGAGGCACCAAGUCAGCCAGUGCAUGGCCUUGUAAUUGUCACACUAGUCUAUGCAUUAUCUAAUCUAACUCUUGAUAUUUUAUAAGUAAGAUAUAUGUACGCAUUUCUAAGUUAUAACUUGUUGCUACCCUUUUGCUAGUGGAUAAUUCGAGGCACAUGGCAUUUUCAUAAUUGGUCAAUUAGUUAUUAAGUACCAAAAUUUUGAAAAGGAAAAAAAUUAGAAAUGCUUAGAACAUAUUAGAGCAAAACAUAUGUAAAUUUUGUGCAAGAAUAAGGGAAAAGCAAAUAAAAUCAAAAUAAAAUUGUAUAUUGUGGAAUUAAGAAAUGAAAGAGGAACGCAAUUUAGUUUUAAAAUCUGACAUAUUAGAUAUAGUUGAGUCAAUUGUUUUCCACCGAAGAAUUGGUUGUGGUUCCAUCUAACUUAAGAUAUUUUGUGUUAAGAUGGUUUAUUUGUAGAGAUAUAUUAUAAUUAUAUAUGAUUUCUAACCAAAACAACAAGAAGUUUUUAAAGAUGGGUACAAAUUGAAUUAACUAAUGUAAUUCCACAUUGUCAUUUGGUAAAAGAAAGAUAUCUUGACAAAAGAGAUUAAAAGAAUUAUGUGAAAAACCUUGGCGACCUUAAACCAUCUCCAAUGUCUUUAUAUCUUUGGCAUCAUUAAGAGUAAAUGUGUAUCUUGAUCAAACCUGAAACCACUAAAGAAAAACAUAUGAACUCAAAUAGAGGCCAAUUAAAGAUGAGGUCCAAAGAAUAGGGAGUGUCAAGCCUUUCACAAAGACGACGCCGUUUGGCUAAAAAAGGCCCAAGAUCACAACGACGACGUUUGCUGAAGAAAAAUGAAAAAUCUUUCACUACAAUCAUUAGACCAAAAAAG
rnacentral:sRNA from 1 species